rnacentral:rRNA from 1 species
UACGGGGGGAGCAAGCGUUGUUCGGAUUUACUGGGCGUAAAGGGCGCGUAGGCGGCGUGGUAAGUCACUUGUGAAAUCUCCGGGCUUAACUCGGAACGGUCAAGUGAUACUGCUGUGCUAGAGUGCGGAAGGGGCAACUGGAAUUCUUGGUGUAGCGGUGAAAUGCGUAGAUAUCAGGAGGAACACCUGUGGUGUAGACAGCUUACUGGACCACGACUGACGCUGAGACACGAAAGCGUGGGUAGCAAACAGG